UUUUUUUGCUUUUUAGGGGUGCACCCACGGCAUAUGGAAGUUCCCAGGCGAGGGAUCAAAAUGGAACUGCGGCUGCCGGCCACAGCCACAGCAACACCAGAUCUGAGCUGCGUCUGCGACCUACAGCACAGCUCACAGCAAUGCUGGAUCCUUUUUUUUUUUUUUUAAUUUUUUUGUCUUUGGUCUGUUUAGGGCCGCACCUGCAGCAUAUGGAGGUUCCCAGGCUAGGGUUCGAAUCGGAGCUAUAGCUGCCAGCCUAUGCCACAGCCACAGCCAUGCGGGAGCCAAGCCACAUCUGCAACCUACACCACAGCUCACAGCAACUCUGGAUCCUUAACCCACUGACCUGGAAACUUCCACAUGCUGCAGGUGCAGCCCUAAAAAGAAAAAUAUAUAUAUAUUGGAUAUAAGUCCCUGUGCUAUGCAAUAUGUCCUUGUUAUUUGCCUUAUUUUAUACAUAGUACUUUGUACCCCUUAAUGUCCUCCCCAUAUCCUGGCCCUCCCCUCUCUCUCUCCCCACUGGUCACCACGAGUUGGUUCUCUAGAUCUGUAAGUCUGUUUCUGUUUUGGUAAUAUUCACGAGUUUAUUUCAUUUUUUAGAUUUCGCAUACAAAUGAUAUCAUAUAGUAUUUGCCUUUCUCUGUCUGGCUUCUUUCACUAAGUCUGAAGCCCUCCAAGUCCAGCCAGGUCGCUGCAAAUGGCAUGAUUUCAUUCUUCUUCGUGGCUGCGUAGUAUUCCCCUGUGUCUAUGGACCACAUCUUCUUUAUCGAUUCCUCUGUCAGUGGACAUGUAGGUGGUUUCCCCGUCUUGGCUGUUGUGCACAGUGCUGCUAGGAACCCCGGGGUGCAAGUAUCUUUUCAAGCCAGUGGUUUUGAUUUCUUCAGAUAAACGCCCAGGGGUGGGACUGCUGGCUCACAUGGCAGCUCUAUCUUUAAUUUUCCGAGGAACCUCCAUCCUGUUCUCCACAGCGGCUGCACCAAUUGACGUUCCACCCCCAGUGUAGGAGGGUUCCCUUUUUUCCACGUCCUCACCAAUAUUUAUUAUUGAGUCCAUUUUAUCGUCACAUCUGUUUGUGCUCAUCCCCAGAGCGUCCUAAUUUACCUGCUGCCAUGCUUUGGUCUGUACUGACGCAGGCGACAUCAGCAUCAGAGUUACUCGCAGGUUUUUCGCAGUAGCUCUGAGUCACACAAAGCACGGGGUUUGAAAUAGAGGUUGAGUUCUUUUUUCCAUGGAAAAACCGCCUCUGGUGGUUUCGCUGUCCCCGUCCUCUGCCCUGGAUGCCGGUUCUGCAGCUCAGGCAGCGCGUUUAAUCCUCAGCAGCCACAGGGCUUCGUCCCUCUCACCCUCCCCCGCGGUCCCCCUUUAUAAAAGCAUUUCGUGAUGGAGGAUGCACCCUCAUUCUGUCCGACAGCUGCUCCGCGUUUAUAGAGCAAAUGAGGUUAAUUGCCUCUUGAGUAAUAAACCAAAACAGGUUUUGGUGCCAGAGGAGGAGAACAAGGACGAAGGAGAGAAUUUUCAUUUGCACUGUAUGCAUUUGGUCGCAGGGCCCUGGGGGUCCAGGCCAGCGUUUUGUGGGUGGGGGUGGGGGUGGUGGGUGCAUGUUUACGGCACCCUGUGUGCACGGCCUCAGGGUGGAUCCCACACCACCCGCGCUGUCCACACAUACUGUCUUUGUCCUGGAGAGACACCCGUGGGUGAGCAGACAGGUGGCUCCCAAACCCUACGGUGUAGGGUUGCCUGGAGGGAUUGUGGUUGUAGAGGUUGGGGGGGCAUCACCCUCAGAGUUUCUCCCUCCGUAGGUCUGGGGUGAGGGGAGCCCAGGAGGGACCAUUUCUAAGAAGGUUCUGGAAAAUGCAGACACUGCCAGUCCGGGGAGCAGGCAGUGGGAGCCGUCAGAUGAGACUACACCCCCACGACAUGCAGCUGCCGCUUUCACAGACACUAGCCGACCCCCAACCGGUGUUUGCACGGGAUCUGGGGUAGAAAGGUCCACGUUCUCUAUCCCCCUCCAAACCCCCACUGAAGAACACAACCACCCUCUCUUCCCACUCAGCUUUCUUUGUUCUUUGUCUGUUUAGGGCUGCACCUGCG
rnacentral:lncRNA from 1 species